rnacentral:rRNA from 1 species
GAUGAACGCUGGCGGCGUGCCUAACACAUGCAAGUCGAGCGAAGCGGGGACGGGUGAGUAACACGUCGAGAACCCCCUAUAUGACUGGGAUAAAUUCGGGAAACCGGAGCUAAACCGGAAACUUAUCCAUGGUUGCGUGCGGCAUUAGCUGGUGGGUAGGGUAACGGCUCACCAAGGCAACGAUGCAUAGCCGACCUGAGAGGGUGACCGGCCACACUGGAACUGAGACACGGUCCAGACUCCUACGGGAGGCAGCAGUGGGGAAUCUUCCGCAAUGGGCGAAAGCCUGACGGAGCAAUGCCGCGUGAGUGAAGAAGGUCUUCGGAUCGUAAAGCUCUGUUAUUAGGGAGGCGGUACCUAAACAGAAAGCAACGGCUAACUCCGUGCCAGCAGCCGCGGUAAUUC